AAGCACUCCACUCCAUUUCUAUAAAGCUUCUCUUCCUUUCUUUGCUUCAAUUUUCAACCCCAGAAAACAGAAAACCACCUUAAGCGCUAAAACUACAAGGUCUUCCUUUCUUAAUCCUGCUAGAGUUUCUCUUUUUAACAGCCUACAAAGCCAAAGGACGAGAAAUUCAAAGACCCAGCAAGGCCAAUCACCGAGAAAAGCCACGAAAAACAACAAUCCCUUUUGAGCUGUUGUCAAACAAAGCCAAAUGCCAGAUUUUCUC
rnacentral:misc_RNA from 1 species